GGUGUGUGUGUGUGUGUGUAUCCUGGAGCUCAUGCAGAAGCUUCAGGACCUCGGGCACCCCCCCAAAGAACUGGCAGGAGAGACGCCCCCAGGCUUGAACUUUGACCUGGAUGGCCUUAAUCUCCCAGGGGCGGGAGGCGGGGAGCAGUGCGCAGUCAUGUGACCGCCUCAACCGCCG